GAUGAACGCUAGCUACAGGCUUAACACAUGCAAGUCGAGGGGCAGCAUGAACUUAGCUUGCUAAGUUUGAUGGCGACCGGCGCACGGGUGAGUAACACGUAUCCAACCUUCCGUUUACUCAGGGAUAGCCUUUCGAAAGAAAGAUUAAUACCUGAUAGUAUGGUGAGAUUGCAUGAUAACACCAUUAAAGAUUUAUUGGUAAACGAUGGGGAUGCGUUCCAUUAGGUAGUAGGCGGGGUAACGGCCCACCAAGGCGACGAUCAGUAGGGGUUCUGAGAGGAAGGUCCCCCACAUUGGAACUGAGACACGGUCCAAACUCCUACGGGAGGCAGCAGUGAGGAAUAUUGGUCAAUGGACGAGAGUCUGAACCAGCCAAGUAGCGUGCAGGAUGACGGCCCUAUGGGUUGUAAACUGCUUUUAUAAGGGAAUAAAGUGAGUCUCGUGAGGCUUUUUGCAUGUACCUUAUGAAUAAGGACCGGCUAAUUCCGUG
rnacentral:rRNA from 1 species